AAAAAUAGAAAGAACCAUAAGAUAAUCAUGAACAUUCCAUAAUCAUUUCAUUUAAUUAAUCGCCAUAAUAUUUUCUCUGAAAAAACCCCCAGAAUUCCAGGAAUAAAGCGAUCCUUCUCAAACUCAUCAUCUUGUACUACCACUCUACCAGUUACGAGCUCAAGAAGGUAAACAUGUUGGGAAUUCUAAGGCAGAAAUUGGCUUCUGGUGGCGCUGCUAAAUCGUUACAGAGUAUUAGACCAGCUGUUUUCGCUUUGAGAAGCUACUCAUCUUCUGGCAAACAGAUGUCAGUUAGGGAUGCCCUUAAUUCUGCUCUUGAUGAGGAGAUGGCUGCUGAUCCUAAUGUACUUUUGAUGGGUGAAGAGGUUGGGGAAUAUCAAGGUGCCUAUAAGAUCACAAGAGGACUAUUGGAUAAGUAUGGUCCGCAAAGAGUCAUUGAUACACCAAUCACAGAGGCUGGUUUCACUGGUAUUGGUGUUGGUGCUGCUUACUCCGGCCUCAAGCCUGUUGUGGAAUUCAUGACCUUUAACUUUUCCAUGCAGGCAAUUGACCACAUAAUAAACUCCGCUGCAAAAACAUGUUACAUGUCUGCAGGUCAGAUUUCUGUUCCCAUUGUUUUCAGGGGUCCUAAUGGUGCUGCUGCAGGAGUUGGUGCCCAGCAUUCUCAGUGUUAUGCACCAUGGUAUGGCUCUUGUCCUGGAUUAAAGGUACUGGCUCCAUACUCAUCUGAGGAUGCUCGUGGAUUGUUAAAGGCAGCCAUUAGGGAUCCUGAUCCAGUUGUUUUUCUGGAGAAUGAAUUGCUAUAUGGAGAGAACUUUCCGAUUUCUGAUGAAGUCUUAGAUCCCAACUUCUGUAUUCCUUUUGGGAAGGCCAAGAUUGAAAGAGAAGGGAAGGAUGUGACAAUAACAGCAUUCUCAAAGAUGGUGGGAUUUGCUCUCAAGGCAGCUGAGAUACUGGCAGAGGAAGGUAUUAGUGCUGAGGUCAUUAAUCUACGAUCAAUUCGGCCUCUAGAUAGAGCAACAAUCAAUGAUUCUGUCAGGAAAACAAGUAGAUUGAUAACGAUCGAAGAAGGGUUCCCUCAGCAUGGUGUUGGGGCUGAAAUCAGUGCAUCUGUUGUUGAGGAUAGCUUUGAAUAUCUUGAUGCACCUAUUGAAAGGAUUGCUGGGGCCGAUGUACCAAUGCCUUACGCAUCUAACCUUGAGAAAAUGGCUCUACCACAGAUUGAAGACAUUGUUCGUGCUGCAAAGCGUGCAUGCUAUAGAGCAGUUCCAAUGGCAGCAGCAGCAUAAGCUUUAUCAUAUGUUUUGUUUUACUUUGAGUUCCAUGAUUUUGGCCCCGAAUGAAGUGUGAAGUGUCGGGGAUCCCACACAGGUUCUUGAGGGUAUUGUAAGGAAUAAUCUGUCUCGGAUUUUCUAUGGGACGAGAAUACAAGGUGAAGAGCCUCUAAAUCGCAAGGGUUUAUGUUAACAGGUCAUAUACAAGGUGCUCUUUAGAUGCCAUGUAGUCUUAAAUUGCAGAGAUUUUGUUAUUUAUCUUCUGCAAUUACUAUGUGAGGAUAUCUUUUGUGGUGCUGGCACAAAUAUGGUUCAGUUUUAGAUUCAGUUAUUUCUUUGCUGAUGUAAUGAGAAUUGCUCUUAUGGUAUCUUAACUUUGUUGAUCCCUUUGUCA